GCAGAAGUGGCGGAAUUGGUAGACGCGCACGGUUCAGGUCCGUGUGAGAGCAAUCUCUUGAGGGUUCAAGUCCCUUCUUCUGCA
rnacentral:tRNA from 1 species